UACGUAGGUGGCAAGCGUUGUCCGGAUUUACUGGGCGUAAAGGGCGUGCAGGCGGUUUGUUAAGUUCAGGGUGAAAGCUCCCGGCUCAACUGGGAGAGGUCCUUGGAUACUGGCAAACUAGAGGGAUGCAGAGGAAAGUGGAAUUCCCGGUGUAGUGGUGAUAUGCGUAGAUAUCGGGAGGAACACCAGUGGCGAAGGCGGCUUUCUGGGCAUUUCCUGACGCUGAGACGCGAAAGCGUGGGGAGCGAACCGG
rnacentral:rRNA from 1 species